CAGUGGGGAAUAUUGCACAAUGGGCGCAAGCCUGAUGCAGCCAUGCCGCGUGUAUGAAGAAGGCCUUCGGGUUGUAAAGUACUUUCAGCAGUGAGGAAGGUGGAUAUGUUAAUAGCAUAUUCAUUUGACGUUAGCUGCAGAAGAAGCACCGGCUAACUCCGUGCCAGCAGCCGCGGUAAUACGGAGGGUGCGAGCGUUAAUCGGAAUUACUGGGCGUAAAGCGCAUGCAGGUGGUUUGUUAAGUCAGAUGUGAAAGCCCGGGGCUCAACCUCGGAAUUGCAUUUGAAACUGGCAAACUAGAGUACUGUAGAGGGGGUAGAAUUUCAGGUGUAGCGGUGAAAUGCGUAGAGAUCUGAAGGAAUACCGGUGGCGAAGGCGGCCCCCUGGACAGAUACUGACACUCAGAUGCGAAAGCGUGGGGAGCAAACAGGAUUAGAUACCCUGAUAG
rnacentral:rRNA from 1 species